GCUGUAGACGCCCUCACACAAAAUAGUUUCCCAAAAAAUAAAGCGGAGAUUGUUUUCAUUUUCCCGCUCCUCCUCCUUCCGCUUCUCUGCUUCUGCUUCAACCACCGCUAUCGCCGCCACUGCUUCAGCCAUCGCCAUCGUCGUCGAUGCUUCUUCCAUCGUUGCUUCUGAUAUGAAGAAUGUAGUCUCAAGGUUGUUCCAUAUUGAUUCGCCCCCCAUCCACCCACACAACCAGAAGCUUGGAGUUGCCCUAAUUUCAAGAAAUCGUUCAAUGACUCUGCUUAAUUCAAGUUCCCGAGGAAAAUCACAGCACCUGAUACGGAGAAAUCAACCCAUAUACUUCAUAAAAAUCACAACACUUGAAACGGAGAAAAAUCAUAGCACCUGAAAAAUCAAUGGACAACAUUAUUUUGAAACGGAGAAGACGACCAUAAUAAGAGAAACGAAGCCACGGGAGAAAAGGAGGCAACACCAACCAUGAUUAUUCUAGUUUUUUGCUUCACUUGCGGCAAGGUAAUUGGAAACAAAUGGGACACUUACCUUGACCUUCUUCUAACUGAUUACAUUGAAGGAUUUCAAGUGAGCUAGAAACUAAAUAGAAUUUAACAUUUCAAGUGUUGAGGGGAAAAGAAAAUAAAGGGAACGUAAAAUGGAGGUAUUUGUAGAACUUACGUUCAUGCUCUCCCCAUUUUCCAUCGGACGGAGCCUUGUACAACAUACAUCCAAGCGGGGUAAAUUGAACAACUUGGACAUCUUCUGCUGGAAUAUCGAGUUCAUCUAGAGGCUUCCUCUGAGCAGCAUUCCUCACACUUAACAACAGAAAACUUGAUUCAGAAUCUAAGAUUCUCAACCGGAUAUUUAGGAUGGUCGGCCAAGCUUAGGCAAAAGUAGUCAAAGUUGUCGUGUGCAGCAAAUCUAACGAGAAGGUGGUCUCUGCAAUAGUUUCAUGCUUGUUGGGUCCUGAGCGAGUAGAAAAGAUGCAGAUUUUUGUCGGAGAUGUAGUCCCUCGGAAGAAGUCAGACCUAGUACUAGCAGCCACAACACUUGGUGUUGAUCGUGCAAGGACAAUGCCAUUGAUUUUGCAGCCGUUAAAGCAGCAGGCAUGAAAUGCAUAGUGACCAAAAGUGGGUAUUCAAAAAUCCGAGGGAGCAACUCUUCACCAAUGGGGAAUGGAGUUCGAGAAAAGAUGGCAAAUUUUAUUACCAGUGCUUGUCUUUGAUAUUUUCUUGUAGUGAAUCUUAGAUUAUGGAUGCCAGUUUUUCAUAUGAAUGUAAUGUAACCGGUCUUUUUUAUGACAAGUAAGGGAAAGAUAUAUUAAUCAAACAACCAGAAUUACAACUUA